rnacentral:rRNA from 1 species
UACGGGGGGGGUAAGCGUUGUUCGGAAUUACUGGGCGUAAAGGGCUCGUAGGCGGCCAACUAAGUCGGACGUGAAAUCCCUCAGCUUAACUGGGGAACUGCGUCCGAUACUGGAUGGCUUGGAUUUGGGAGAGGGAUGCGGAAUUCCAGGUGUAGCGGUGAAAUGCGUAGAUAUCUGGAGGAACACCGGUGGCGAAGGCGGCAUCCUGGACCGGUAUUGACACUGAGGCGCGAAAGCCAGGGGAGCAAAGCGGG